rnacentral:sRNA from 1 species
ACUCUUCCGAUGCAGGGAAGGAUGAGAAGCUUCGACUAAGGUUCGAUUCGAGCGUAGCGAGAAAGCGUUGCCGCAGGCAACGACCCGAAGGGUGAGGAGCAAAGCGACGAAUUAUCCUUCCCCCACUACCA